CCAGAGAAUUUAGCAGAGAUGCUUUAGUGCCUUCGGGAACUCUGAGACAGGUGCUGCAUGGCUGUCGUCAGCUCGUGUUGUGAAAUGUUGGGUUAAGUCCCGCAACGAGCGCAACCCUUAUCCUUUGUGCCAGCACGCAAUGGUGGGAACUCAAAGGAGACUGCCGGUGAUAAACCGGAGGAAGGUGGGGAUGACGUCAAGUCAUCAUGGCCCUUACGAGUAGGGCUACACACGUGCUACAAUGGCGCAUACAAAGAGAAGCGACCUCGCGAGAGCAAGCGGACCUCAUAAAGUGCGUCGUAGUCCGGAUUGGAGUCUGCAACUCGACUCCAUGAAGUCGGAAUCGCUAGUAAUCGUAAAUCAGAAUGUUACGGUGAAUACGUUCCCGGGCCUUGUACACACCGCCCGUCACACCAUGGGAGUGGGUUGCAAAAGAAGUAGAUAGCUUAACCUUCGGGAGGGCGUUUACCACUUUGUGAUUCAUGACUGGGGUGAAGUCGUAACAAGGUAGGCGUAGUGCU
rnacentral:rRNA from 1 species